UCAAAGUACCGCAAGAGUGUUUCGAGGGCAGCCGACUCACUCAGCUCGCGCAGUUUCUCCAGAGCGACUGCAGGAGUGCUGAUGAUGACACAGCUGUUUCAUGAUUGGCCAAAUUCACCACACGACAACAAUGAAAGUAUGCAAACACCACGUGAGCGUCACUAACGGGAGCAGAAAGCUGGCAGAUCAAAAGGGUGGACUUCAGGAGGCAGACACACUAUGUGCUGACCGACUGAAUCUCUUGUCACAGUGUGAACACUUGUAAGGUUUCUCUCCAGUGUGGAUCCUCUCAUGUGAUUUCAGAUGUGCUGACCGACUGAAUCUCUUGUCACAUUGUGAACACAUGU